AGUGAACGCUGGCGGUAGGCCUAACACAUGCAAGUCGAACGGCAGCACAGUAAGAGCUUGCUCUUACGGGUGGCGAGUGGCGGACGGGUGAGGAAUACAUCGGAAUCUACUUUUUCGUGGGGGAUAACGUAGGGAAACUUACGCUAAUAUCGCAUACGACCUACGGGUGAAAGCAGGGGAUCUUCGGACCUUGCGCGAUUGAAUGAGCCGAUGUCGGAUUAGCUAGUUGGCGGGGUAAAGGCCCACCAAGGCGACGAUCCGUAGCUGGUCUGAGAGGAUGAUCAGCCACACUGGAACUGAGACACGGUCCAGACUCCUACGGGAGGCAGCAGUGGGGAAUAUUGGACAAUGGGCGCAAGCCUGAUCCAGCCAUACCGCGUGGGUGAAGAAGGCCUUCGGGUUGUAAAGCCCUUUUGUUGGGAAAGAAAGGCAGCAGGUUAAUACCCCGCUGUUCUGACGGUACCCAAAGAAUAAGCACCGGCUAACUUCGUG
rnacentral:rRNA from 1 species